GGGAUGGGGAAGGCCGCGUGGGCCGCGGAGACGGUGGACGUGGUGGCUGGGCCAUGGGCUGCGGCCCCUGAGGCUGAGCCAUGCCCCGUGCCUCACCUGAGGGACCCCUUCCCCCGAGGUGCGAGGAGCGAUGGGCAUCGGGUGCCCGGGAAUCCCCACCCCGGCUCUCUUAGCCGACAGCUGGGCACAUGCAGCAGGGUGAGCUGCGGGAGCGUUUGCAGCCAGCCAGGACGGGUGUCUGUCUCUGGGUUUCGGCAGAGCCAGGAUCCAAGUGCCCUGCAAGCAGCCGUGGGCAGAGCAGCACCAAGCCAUGGACACGGAGUUUCGGCAGGAUCCAGGUCCAAGACCUUUAGGGAAUGCUGGCUCCUGAGCGCACUGAAAUCCCAAGGGGCACCAGUGUCCCGUGGGACCCCCGAUGGGAACCCCGCUCCUCGUUCUCCAGCACAUACCCCAUGCCUGGGAGCUGAAGGAUGCUCCCACCCAGACUCGCCCUUCUCCCAGUGUGGAGUUGGGCCACGAGGAGGGAUGUGGCCCACCGGAAUGUGCCUGGAUUAGGAGCUGCAUUGUACCUGGCUCCGGCUGGCUCUGCACCAGGGGGGUCUGGCGGCCCCCGGUGAAUUCCUCUCUUUAGGCUCUCCACCGCAUAUCCCGGGGCAAGAGGCUCUUCCUGCUCUGGAGACAUUCUUGCCGAGCCACCUCAGCCCAGGGUUAAUGAGAGCAGGAGGUGGUGAAACCAGAGCUGGCUCCUUGGGUGAAAACACGGCCGGUUUAUUCUUGUGCUAAUGCCGCGAAAAAAAGAGGAUUGAGCCUUUUUAAUGAGUUUUUAGGCUGGAGCCUGCUGCAUCCCCUGGUCCCAUCCCCUGGUUCCCAGCAUCCAGAGCAGGACGGCAAAGGUCAGCAGCCCCAAAUUAGGAGUGGCUGGGACCAACUCCACUUCCCAUGAGGACCCCCCCACCAACCCCCUGCACUGGGAUCCACGGGAAAGACAGUGGACUCCAGACGAGAACACACUUGCUCUGCCUGCUCCAUGCAAGGGGCAAGGCUGAAACCGCUGAUCCCUUCUGUCCUGCACACCCAUUCCUGAUGGAAGCCUCAAGCUUUAACACGAAUUUUGGGCAGCAUUUGCAGGAUGCCCCUGACCCUGCUGAGCACCCUGCCCUCACAUAGCUGCCGGAUGUCAGAUGUCCUUCCUGGAGGAACUGGACUGGAGAUACUCCUGUUUACCCCCGUGCAGCAGUAGCCGCCUUGGCUUGAGCCAAUUAUUGCUGUUUUUCCCGACCAUGCCGUGCCUGAGGAGCUGGGUGGGCAGGUGCCCCAGCACACCAGCACAUCCAUCAUCCACGCGGCACAAGGGCGGCAGCAGCCAUGAGCCACAGUUUCCAUCUGAGUCCCAGUUUCCAUUGGCAUCCCACACCUCCGGCAGCCAGAGCAGACCCCAGGCACACAGCUCCCACUGGGAUGCCCCGGGCCGAUCCCUGGCACCCCUUCCAGCACUCCAGCCCCAUAUCCAUGGAUGGGUUCCCUGACGGUUUCUUACUGCAUCUAUAAGAAGCUGAACAGAAGAAAGCAAACCCAGCCAUAUUACCCCAAAAAAUUUUAAAUCCCCGAGUCCAAAGAUAUUUAUGAGAUUUUGUUUCCAUCCCUGCUCUAAGCCAGUCAGGCUCUGGGAAAUGACGCACAGUCUUCCCGCAGGGAAGCGGAGGUGCUGGUGUUCCCAAAGCUGCUGACCCCAGCGAGCCCCAUCCCUGUGCAGUCCCCAGUUCUCCUGCCCACCCACCUUGCUGUGCCUGGCUCCACCAGCCCUCUCACCCCUGGCCACCACAGGCCGUGGGGUAGGAAAGACCCAGCACCCUGCAGGUCCCUGCUCACCCUCUGCACCCAAAACCCCAGCUGAGACAGCCCCCAAAAUGAACUGGGAGCGUGCAGGGGAGGGAGGACUCAUGGGAGCUGCCCGGCUGCAUCCCUCGCACCCGAAGGUGGUGACAGCUCAGUUCAAUCUCUGCCGUGUGUGGCAGAGGGGGGAGGCUGCGAGGAGCCGCUGUCUCACGUGGGAGAGAGCACCCGGCACCGUGUCAGCUCAGCCAAAUUAAAAAUACUCCUGCAGCCCCCAGGCUGGUGCCUGGACGGGCGGAUCUGGCAAGGACGUGGCCUGCGGGAUCUGCAGAUGCUGGAAGGGACACAGGGAGGAGAAGGUGCUCCCACACAGAGAAGGGGAUGGGGCACACACUGGGGGACCCCAGUAUUUCCCAGCUGUGUCCCAGUUCUCCUGCACAACUCGGGGUACCUGAGGGGCUGUUCCUCCUCUGCUGGGGGGGCCCUUCCAGCACCACUGUGGGCACAGAGACUCUGGCUCCGGCACACUCAGGUCCUUGCGGAGGGGCCUGCAUGGGCAGUGGGCCAUAGACAGGGAGCCACGGGGUGCUACUGGAGAAGAAGCCCCUCGACUUGCUGGCAUGGGACCCCCACACACACCCUACAGCCACUGCCAGCUUGCAGGAUGCAGCCUCGUGCCUCCUUCCCCUGCACAGCCUUGUCACAACCUUCAGCUGCGUGACUGCAGCUGGCAGGGAACAAGCCUUGAAAUAAACUCAGAUGACAUUCCUGCAAA